rnacentral:tRNA from 1 species
GGGGAGGUGUCCGAAUUGGCAAGGGGCCGGUCUUGAAAACCGGUAAGGCCCUCGUGGCCAUGUGGGUUCGAGUCCCACCCUCCCCGCCA